UAGCAACUGGAGAACUGCAGGAGACAAUCUUUCUAGACUCGGCGCAGGCGGAGGGAGUGCUUGCAGGGGGUUGGCCUGGUGCAAUCCGCACCGUGGGGACGCUGCUGUGCGUGGAAGCUACUGCCCAGAAGAGAAAAUGUUUGGUUUUCACAAGCCAAAGAUGUACCGAAGUAUAGAGGGCUGCUGUAUCUGCAGAGCCAAGUCCUCCAGUUCUCGGUUCACGGACAGUAAACGCUAGGAGAAGGACUUCCAGAGUUGUUUUGGUUGAGACUCGCUCAGGAGACAUCUGCAAUGCCUGUGUGCUGCUCGUGAAAAGAUGGAAGAAGUUGCUGGCGGAAUCCAAAAAAAAACUGGAAUCACGUGGUAGAUGCAAGGGCAGGACCCAGUCUGAAGACAACGUUGAAACCAAAGAAAGUAAAAACUCUGUCUGGAAACAGGAUGAAAAGCAACCAGAUCAGUAAACUGCAGAAGGAGUUUAAACGCCACAAUUCGGAUGCUCACAGAACCACCUCAAGUGCCUCCCCUGCCCAGUCUCCCUGCUACAGUAACCAGUCAGACGACGGCUCAGAUACAGAGAUGGCGUCCAACUCUAAUAGGACUCCAGUGUUUUCCUUCUUAGAUCUUACCUACUGGAAAAGACAGAAGAUCUGCUGUGGGAUCAUCUACAAGGGCCGCUUUGGGGAGGUCCUCAUUGACACGCAUCUCUUCAAGCCUUGCUGCAGCAGUAAGAAGGCAGCUGCUGAGAAGCCCGAGGAGCAGGGGCCGGCGCCUCUGCCCAUCUCCACUCAGGAGUGGUGACUGAGGUUCAUGUAGAAGGGAACAAAGAGCGAUUUUAAACUUUGAAAAGACCACAAAGCAACAAAUCGACCCUCCUAUUUUUAACUUGGAUACCUGCUAUUCUGCCAAAAGACAUUUUUCUAGAAUAGUUUCAUGGGUUACCCAUCCCCUCAUCCAACAAACUUUGAAGCCAGUUUCUUCUAGCUUACUACAAGAAAGAAGUGUACAUAAUAUUUAAGAGGCUGGGUAUUUCAUAGGAAAGCUGAAUGCUGCUGUAAAGUGCUCUUUAAAGUCUUUUUUUUUAAUCCCCUCUAAUGAAUGGAAAUAGGGGAAUUUCAGGGGACAGAGAUGGGAUUUGUGUGUGAUAAAUAAACCAUAUGUAGUUUAGUCUUUCUGUGGAGAGGCAGUGGUUGGGGCAUUUUUAAAUGGCUGGCUACACUUGUUUUCCCUCAUGAUGAUUUGUCAUAACUCAGUAGCACGACCUGCCCCCUAGAGGUAGUUAAGAAUUUUUAAAUGCUAAGGUGUUGCCAAGGCUCUGAUGAUUCAGACCUGUACUACUGAUGAUUAAGCAGGACAGACUGAGCUUUCUGCAAAUAGCUUGAAGGAGGAAGCAAUCUCUGAACACACAGGCAGCACCGAGUCACCUCCCCUCGUCAUAUUUGAUAAAAAGACUUUAUGUGAAUCUUAGAAAACAGAACCAGAGCUCCUUCUGGGGAAGGCCAGCCUGUAGGAUGAGCAAGGUCCUAUAGGGAUAGUACCAAAGCAUCACCAUGCGGUAGAGAACACGGGGUCAUAAACUACUUAAACAGAAUGUGUAAGUCCUGAGGAUGCGUGGGGCACAGUUGAUGCUGCUUGGGGCACAUUUCUUAGAGGGCUUGCAGUGUGUAAACAAUUGACAUUGGUGUUACACAACUGUCUGGGAUUCACUGAAAUCCACACGAUUCAGUUCUAGCUCUGGAUUACCUCAGUUGACCUUUUGUGGAGGUUUUUUUUUAUCUAUAGAGUAG